GCCUGGGUGGCUCAGUCGGUUGAGCGGCUGACUUCGGCUCAGGUCAUGAUCUUGAGGGGUCCGUGAGUUCGAGCCCCGCUUCGGGCU
rnacentral:tRNA from 1 species